GCUGCAAGAUUAAGGAAACUGCAUGUACAAAAGAAUAAAAUUCACUAUAAUGAAAGGUCUAUUAUAACGAUAAUGAAAGACACUUAUUAAAAUUGCUUAUUAAAACUGCAAACUGAAUUCGAGAUGUUCAUUUAUGUGGUAAACACAAUGCUCGCCACGAUGCGUACGCGGUAUGAGUUUCCAUUGGCAUACCAUGAUGGUGAUUCCAGUAAAUACCUUCUUUUAAUGAAAAGCACGAUCCAUAUCGAGUCCACUAUGUCCGAUUCAAACUGUAUUUACACGCGGAUUAUUGGCAAUUCUGCUGUUACAACACCGCCGGAUGCGUGUUGCUUUUUACAAGCGAGAAAUUAGGCUGAAGGGAAAUAACCAAGGUCGUAACAAGCUAUCAUUUGAUAAUAUAGAAAAGUACAAUAGGGGAGAGUUGCCGAAUGCAUACCAAUUAAAUUACUUUUUAUUACAUAUCUCAUUUGGUAUUGUUUCGUGCGUAAAUAAACGUUAGAAAUUGUGGCUUGAUGUUUUCCAGAUCCCUCUAUUACUACAUAUUUUUACCUAACACAACAAUAACAAAUUAAUCUAUUAUAAAAAUUGCUACAUGUUGCAAAAAGUAUGAUUUAGACAAUCGAUUACUUAAAUUAUGCCUGUGAGUCUCUUAAAUCGUAUCGCUUCACAAAGUAUGUUGCAAAGCAUUACAUUAUUUAGAAUAUAGAAGUGAACAAAAAACGAAAUAAUGCUCGAAGACUAAAAGUAUUUGUUUUUUUAGCGAACCGUUUGGUUUUAUGCUCGGUUUAAUAUGCUCGGUGAUAAUUUCUGUGGAUGGGAAAAUGUGCGGCCGAAACGGCAAAACGACCGUAAAUUCGCCGAACAUCCGGGAAAUAGUCGCGGCUGACUGCUCCGCCACGAAUCGGCAAUUUUGCGGGCCACGUUCUGCCUGUUCUGCGUGUUUGCGUCAUUAGUCUAAAAGCGUCGCAGGGAUCCGGGACUUACCGCGCGCCGCGCCGACGUAGUAAGACAUUACGACCAGCCAGCCAGCCAUCCAGCACCCCUAUUCGGUAUAAUUUCCACCCCCUCCUGCCGUUCUCGGCACCCCUCGUUCCCGAAAACGGUUCUCAUCGCGAAGGGGUGCGUCCCAUCCCUCGCUAUCUCGGUUUCUCACUACCAUCCUCGCCGUCGUCAUCAUCGUCGUCGUCGUCGUCGUCGUCUCCGUAUCUCUCCCUCCUACCUACCUCCCUGCUGUCUCCCGCCUCCUCCUGAUAAUUAAUUUUACGUAUCCAGUUUACAAGCGGACGAAGUGGCGCGUAAUCAGAUUUCGUACCCGAGAUUGGUAGAGAUUGCUCGCGCAAGUCUGUCGACGUCACCGGCUCUUCGCUUCGCUGAGGAAUGACGCGCACGCCUCAACGACUCGCCGCAAAGGCACGGAGCACAUCCAGAACGCGAUAGUCUCGGAGAGGUGAUAAUAUCCAGCGAAAUAGGAAAUAUCUCGGUCUCAUGCGUCGUGAAAAUCAGUAUUUGUUCACGUUACGUUUUCGUCUAUCUUGACACGAUUCUUUAAAUCCAAGCUGUUAGAUAAAAUAUUACAAUAAAGUAGCUAAGAUAAAAUUCAAUCAAGCGCAGAAUAAAUUAAUAAAUUAACAAGUUUAAAUUAAUAAAUUGGGUCGCGUGGAAAAACUAUGAAAGAAAUCGAUAAAUGUUAUUAUUAGUUCAAAUAAUCACUGCUGAUAAUAGAGAAAGCAUCAUAUAAAUAUUUUUGUUUCAAUGUUUGAAACUUUAUAAUAAUUUUCUUUUAUUAAAAAAAAAUCCCCUAAGAAUACUUUGCCAUAAAGAUAUAUUCUACGAAUAUAUUUCCAAUACGGUCUUCUUUCGAUAAAUGUUCUGUCUUUAUUAUCAUUGUUAUAAUUGCUAUCUUUCCCAUUGUUAUUAAUCGAUUAGCGGAAAUUUCUUUAUCGAUAAAGUGAUAAAAACCGAUAAUUAGUAAAAGAUUAUUAUUAUUAUCAUGAGAAAUAUAGAAAAUCAGAUAUUGUUGAUUUGCAUAAUCCCAACGCGCUCAUUUUAAGACAUCGUCUCCGCGUAAAUUUUUCGAGCAGUAAUUAAGAGUGACAGCUCUCACCGGAGGUAUGUGCGAACCGGUAACCGUGGCUGAUCUUGAUAACAGUCGAAAGUUCUUAAGUGACAAAGUUUCGGAUACUUAGUGCAGAAAUAACGUCCGUUUUCCCGGCGACUUCAUCCACCUAUCCUCGUGCCGCGUUUAAUUACGAAAUUUCGUAAUCUUGACCCAUUCGUCGUGGGAUGUUCCUGGUGUGUAUCUCGCCGAAAAUAACAGCGAUUCGUUACAUUGGCGGAGGAGGAGCGAAUUUCUCACUCCGUACCGAGCAUCGUAAACGUUGAAACAUCGCCCGAGUCCCCGUACUUUUCUCGAAUCAUAAACAUCUUAAUGAAUUCCAAACAUUUCGAAAUCCGCAGCGCGCACGUCGAAUCGAGAUUCUUAUCUCGCGCCCGCCCAAGGAACGUCAUUUCGCUUCUCUAUUUGCGUUUCAUUUCCACCGACGCUGACAAACAGGCUUCUUCCUUUGUGCCGCGGUGUGGAACCAGUUAUUCGCCAGCCGGAGUCCGCAAAUGUUUUCCGUGCACGCGACCACCAUUCGAAGAAAGCGUCGCGAAAUCGUUGGCCGUUCAAUCAAUCGUCGACUGCACUUUCCGGUGGCCGCGAGAACAAUUCCCAUCCGCGGCUAUCGUCCCCCCACGGUAUCUCGAUAAGUGGGUUGUGUCUCCGAAAGCGCGGAGAGUGUAGGAUGGUGUGCGGUGUGCGGGAGGAGAACGCUUUGUGAGCGGUAACGCAGUUACCGUGCACUUUGCCGCGAUAACUUCGUUCCGGCGUUCGUCGGUUCCCACGGUCGCCUGGCGUCCAAUGGUCUCCUUUCCAUGGCCACUCCGCCGAAGAUAUUGCCCGGCCAAACUAGCCAAUGUGUGCCGUCAUCCGGUCAACUCGCACUGUCUUGCCCGCCGCCACCAAGCCAUAACGCACACGCUUCGGCUGUUUCUCGAAUACCCGUGAUCGUUCCCGGCCAACUUUAACUCAUCGCGUCGUAAACGAACCUCGCGUUACGAUACAUGCGACAUUCGAUAUCGUUGCUGUGACGAAAUUCAAUUACUCAAAAGCUUUUUUUAUUUGCCUACCUUGAAAUUUAAUGUCAGGCACAUUUAACACUUUCGAUUAAAACAUUCUCGUAACAUCAGUACAUCGUUAGUCUAAUAGUAACGUAUAAUUACGUACGUUUUCAUGAAUGUAAUAUUGACAUAUUACGUGUAUAUGCCAUUGGUAACUUCUAUUAAAGUCAUUAAGGUUAUAUGUAUAUGUCCAACAAUUAUUCAUUGUUACAACGUUUGAUUUCCAUGGUCAUCUCAUUAGCAAUUAUGGAUGUGUCUAAUAACUGUCAUUAAGUUUUACAAGCGAUAAAUAUCCCAUGACGAGGGAAACCUGCGAAUUCAUAAAUUUUCCAGAGCACGGCUGAUUCGUCAAUUAGGGAAGGAUUAUCCCUCGCUUAUUGACAACAAAUUCUCGUGCGAUUUCCUCUCUACUGGUCCCUGUAUUAUUAACAUUUAUGCUAGGCGAAUCAAGGUCGCAAACCCUCUCGCGCAUCCCGGCAAUGGCGAUCCAUCAAAUCGUCGUAAACCGUAACAGGAAGCGCUGAUUAACUGAUAGCCGUCUGUUUCGGCUUCGAACACAAACGCGUUUGCGCGAGCAGAGGUACUCACGCACUCGCCUCAUCCGAUUUAUCCAUUAUGCGCCUAAAUCAUCUCUAACGCCGGCCCGCUAACGCUAUAGAUCAUAUCGUUCGGUUUCCUGACUCCACGUCGGCAUCCCUGUCAGCGGCAGCGGACGAGGCGUGGAUAUUGUCGAAGCACGAUGAUGCUUCUCUCUUUCUCUCUCUUUAUUAUCCUCCCUCCUUCCCCCUUCUCUCUCUCUCCCCGUCUCGCUUCCUCUCGGCGAACAAGAGUGCCUCCCUUUCCUCUUCGACAUCGCGUCGACACUGGUUGGCCGACAGGGUCUUCGGCUUCGGCAGGCAGUUCGGUCCGGUAGUUGCUUACAUUACCAUACGAAUGGUCGAUCGAUCCAAGACCUCGUACCACCUAGCCAGCCAGCCGCUGCCGUCGGUGCGCUCGCACGAGGAGUACUGACACGUAGUUCGACGUAGCCGUAGCGGCACGUACACGCCACGUAUACGCCACGGGCGUGCAUACGUGACGAUGCAUGUAGGGUACUUUCGCGUGUGUGCACAGCCGCGUGAAUGUAUACGUACACAAAAGGCGUAUGCAUGCACAACGCAUACGUGCACACAAAACGCAUAUGCCGAUUAGGGCAGGGAAGGACUACGGCGACGUAUCGUGAUGCAGUGGACGUGGACGCGAGCUACGGAUGUCAAGACGCACAGUAUCGCCGCCGUAGUAACACGGAGCCAGCGAAUCGGUUGAGUCGUCGACGACCGCGACCGGUACUUAGGGCACAACCCCUCCUGUACACAGCCGUCCCGGAAUGUACACCGAUCGUUAAUCACCGUUAUUGUCGCUAAACUCUAGCGCCCCGGACCCUCCCCCGACUCUUCCCGGAAGGGCUACAUUCCGGGCUACACCCGCGGGAUAUUAUUCCGUGCCCGAGAUAGUGCCGACGAUCCUACCGCGAAUCUUGAUCCAACCAGCCAACCAGAUAACAAUAGCAGCGCGGGGUCUCGGAGGUACGGUUUAUCGUAUCGCGAAGACGCUACACUGAGUAGGUGCUUUAUCUCUUGGUAAUAUAUCAAUAUUCCAGUAGGUCUGUAAGCGACACGUAUGCGCCCAGGAAAUCCCGCGCAAAUUGCAAACUCGCGAAAUAUUUGCACGAAUGUAAAUACGUUCCGCUCUUUUUUUUUUUUAUAAAUCGACAAAAACUUUGCUUUGGUUGAUCCAAUCGCGAAACAUUUACUCGCUCCUUUUUUUUAUCCAAGUUAUUAAAAUAGAAAAAUUUUUUUUUCGCCCACGGUAUCACAGAAUGCGGCAAAGUGAAGCUGAACGUUAAUCGAAAACACGCUGUAAAAGCUUCCGCCUGCCAAUUCGCUCACAAAGACGACAGUAACAGAAAACGUGUGCGCAUUGCAAGAGAUACAUCGCUUACAUUCGUUCCCGAGAUACCCUCGCGAGGCGCACGUUGAAUCUUAAGGCACGCGCCAUUACUGCGAACGAAUCUUUUUGACGCAGCGAAAGUCCCGCAUCAAGAUUCCAUUCAAAGAAGCGCCUCGCGUUUUAUCCAUCCAUCAGCCCCUCGAGGAUGCGAGGGCGAGUGAGGAGGGGAAGCGUCGGCGCAAGAAACUGUAGAUUUUCGUAUACGCCAACGAAACGGCUUCGGAUUUCCGUCAGUAGUCUCGCUCGCAAAUUUGCCUCGAAGAUCGCCCUUCCUCUCUCCUCCCUUGUGGGAGAGAGGACUCGAGUAUUGGCCGUUCGCGAUAUUAUUCGUUCGUAUUUUUUGUACCGUACGGAAGAGGGAUGCCGAUCGAUCGACCGAGUGGCUCGUCUCAGAAGGUAAAAGGAGAACGGCAGACGAGUACACUCUAAAUUUUUUGGAGUGAAAUACGUCACUCUUUGCUGGAGUGAAUAGCAUAUCACUCCAAAUAGAGUGAUUUUUCACUCUUACGGAGUGAAUGAGUUCACUCUUUGCAAUGGAGUGAACAAACUCACUCCUACUGUAAGAGUGAUUUAAAUGGUCUAUCAACAUUCACUCCUAAAGAGUGACAUUUCAGUCUAAUAAGAGUGACUGAUUCUGCGGAAGAACCAGCGACAGGGGGCGCGGCGCUUCGCAGUCUGUUUUUAUUCUUCAUCGCCACGUAACAUCGGCAUCGAUUUAUAUUUAUGUUGUGUAUGUGGAAUUAUAUUUGAGAUAAACGAACGUUUCUCUUGUAUCUCUCUAUAUAGCUUCUGUACUCUAAUAGCGCUCUGUACGAACCAUCAAUACGAAGUUUCUAUCGUAUAUGAAGCAGUUGUACAUCAUUCGUUAUAACUGUGUAUAUUAGAAGUAUGAAUUUUCCAGAGAAAUACAAUUUGCCAGCGGAAACUUUAAAUAAUCCUGCUAAACUAGCAGAAUAUUUAUGCAUGCAAGGGAUACAAAAAGAGGUGACAGAAAUAUUAGAGCGAGAAUGUGUUGAUGGUACAGCAUUCCUAUCAUUGACGGAAAAUGAUUUAAAAGAAUUACAAAUAAAGAUAGGCCCAAGAAAGAGGAUUUUAAACUUGAUAAAUAUAGCAAAUCCAGGCUUUAUUAUUAUUAAUAAUACAUUUGAGAAAGAUAGUGAAAUAAUACAGCAAGUUUCCAACAUUGAUGUAAUACCAGCAGAAAAUACCGAAGUAGAAGCUUCAACAAGUAAUUGCAAACUUCCAAAUGAUGCAUUUGCUAAUAGAGAGAAACAUAGUGUUCAGAAGUGCAAUAAUCAAGGAAGUAGAUUAAAUGUUCGCGAUUGGGUAAAAGCACAUGAUGCGAAACAAACAAGAAAAUCUUCUCUGUUACGUACGCUAGAUACUGGCAUAGUAGACAAUACAGCUCGUCAAGAGUUAAUAAGAAUAGUUUGCGCAGAAAUCGUCAAGAUCAGUAAUGACAUGUAUCCAUCCAGCGAUUUAAAAACUGAAUUGGCUAAAGAAAUAGUAACAGCAUUUCCAAAACUACGAUCGUCGCAAUCGACAGAAGGAUAUGAGCAUUUUUUUGACAAAAAGACCAACAGCGGCUUUAUUCAAUAUCGAUUGAAAACUAUGAGAGUAGGAUUAAGUCCUUCGAAUAAAAAAAGAUCAAAGACUUCGCCAUCGAACCGAGUAGAAAAUGCUAUGAAAAGGCAAAAAAAGGAUAUAAAUGAAAUAUAUCUUGAUGAAGAUAUGCUUAAUAUAAAGAUUUCGGAGCUUGUAUUAAAAAUGCCAACUGAACAAAAUAAACAAAUUAUCACUAUGUUAAUGGACGAAACAAGACCUAACAGGCAACAAAAAAUUAGAGAUUCUAAGUGCACAGUAGCGGAUAUUUUAAAGGAAUAUCCCAGAUUUAAAGAUUAUCAUGGUGAAUUGAUACACAGGGAAUUUAUUUCAAUGUUCCCCGGGAAAGAUAAAUUGUUGAAAAAAUUUCCAGAAUUUUACGCGUCUAGAAUUUUGCAGUUCUGUUCUAUAUAUAAACCCAAUUUAUUGGAGAAAAUUGCAGAUUUGGAUAAUGAUAAUUUAAAAGCUCUUGUUCUUCUGCCCGAAUUAUUACCAACACCAAAUUAUAUGAAAAAAAAAUUAUCUGAGAAAGAGAAUUUAAAACCUACAAAAAAAAAAUUAAAAUCGGCUGUAUGUAAUUUUGCAAGUAAAGAAAUCCCAAAUACAAAUUUACUGCGGUUCAUUCAUACAUCAGAAGAUUUAUUGUCUUAUAAUACAGACAAGAUAGAACAAAAAAAAUCAAAAAACGUACAGCCCUUUUUAAUAUGUAACAUGAUUGGUCAAAAAAAAAAAGGAAAUUUUUUUAUUCAGACGGAUGGACACUUAAUUUCAGUGAGCGAUGAUCCAAUGACAGCAUUUGAUAUUCUUGUCAAAUUUCAUUAUUGUUUUGACAUUCAUUUUGCAUCUGAUUUAAUUAAUUUUUAUGACUUCGUAACCGGGUGCAUUAUGAACUUAAAUGAACCACGUGCUUGUUGCACAGCGUUACACACAAGUUUAAAUAAUAUUGAUAAUCUUUUAACACCAACGCAAACUGUUGAUGAUAGCGAUGAGGAUAUAAGGUAUUUUUUAUAUACAAUAAUUAAUCUGAACUGCGCGCACACACACACACACACACACACACACACACACACACACACACACACACACACACACACACACAAAAUACUAAUAUAUUAAAUUAAGAUAAUUUUUUCAGUUAUGCAUCAAACAAUGAUGAAAAAGGCUCGUCAUCAGACAAUUAAAAACAUAAAAAUAAAUUUAAAAAUUUAUUUUGUUCUUUUAUAUAUUAUAUAUAUAUAUUCUUUUAUGUAUUGUUCAUGCAUAUAGUUCAUAUAAAACAUGUUUAAAUAUUAAAGUUAAAAAUAUAAAAGAUGUUAAUAUAAAAAAUUUGACUGCAUAAUUUUAUUUUUUCCUUUAAGAAAAAUUUAUUCCGUAUUUAUAAUAUAUAAAGGUUGAAUAAUUGAAUAGGUAAAUGCUAAAAGUGGUUAAAGUCAAAUUUUACACUUUUUUACUUUUUUGUAUAUGUUUUUUAUUAAAACAGUAUUUUUUAACAUAAAUGUUUCAAUAAAAAAUUUUAUACAAAAGUAAAAAAAUGCAACAUUUGACUCAACUACUUUUAGCAUUUACUUAGUCAAUUAUUCACUCCUUUCAAGAGAGUGAAAAUAUUCACUCCUCGUUAGAUUGAAAAUAAUUUCCCAAUUGGAGUGAAUUUUCACUCUCUAAGAGUGAAAAUUUCACUCUACUUAAGGAGUGAAUGAUUCACUCUCUCCUUGGACUGAAAAAUCACUCCUGUUGGACUGGCGCAAUUUUCACUUUCGUUAGGAGUGACAUUUCACUCUUUUAGAGUGAAAUUUCACUCCAAAAAAUUUAGAGUGUAAAAAGGGAAUACGAGUGGCCGAACUCUCUCUUUCUCUCUCUCUCUCUCUUUUUUCGCUCUCAUUCGAACGAGAGGCGGGAGAGUUCUAUCGGUGAGCAAAUAUAAAGGGAAACUUCACUGUGCAGCCAGGGUGGAAAAGGGUGAUACGUAUUCGAGGUCGACCAAUGAGACGGCUGUAGAAGGGAAUACAGUCGAUAUUAGGGAAACCGAAACUCCGGCGAGAAAAAAAAAAGUCAACCUAAAAUUUUCUGUCCACCCUUAUAACGUGAAACUUUGCCCAAAGACCAAUAGUCCUGCUCCUGAGGCGUGAGAAUAGAACGUUGGAAGCUCUUCUUGAAAAAUGAAACAAAAGGAACGCGUUUCUUCUGUCAAAUUUCACUUACAUCUGCGAUAUUGCUUUCGUUAUUUUCAAGAUGUGCAUAGGUAAUAGGUUUUCACUAUUUUAGUAGCUUUGAAAAAAGAAAAGCGUUUGCCUCGACGUGUUGAACCAUCGCCUGGCGGAUCCAUUUCGAAUCGAUUCUUGCCGGAAUGUAAAUAAAAGAAGGAGAAUAAAGUCUACUGAUAUUUGCUCGCGCUUUGUAAAUAUAUUUCUUUAAAUUGCCUUUAAAAAGGAAAAAAUUUACAGAAACAUAACCGGACGAGAACAUAAAAAGCUUACUGUGCGAUAUAUAAAUCCGAAUGAGAUCUAUAGCAGCAAUUUGCAGUCUUCUUCAUUACAAAAAUUCAUUAGCAAUGUCUUAUAUCAAUCCACACUCGAGUGCAAAUUAGAAGUAAACACUUCCAUCAUCACGCAAUUAGUUAAACCUUUAGGCAACACAUUUAUAAAGCUUAAAUAUAGGUUUCGAUAAAACAAUAAUACACGUAGAAAUUAUUAUUUCUCUCUGGUGCAUCGAAAGCAUGAAAAUUGUAAAACAAAUACGCGGGAUCUUCACGUUGGCGGGUUGGCUCUGCCAAUUCCGACGGUUUUAAAGUCUCGGGCACAUUGAACAUGUUGUCUGAAUAGACAUCCCGUCAAAGGUACUCGACCUUAUUGCCUCUCGUAGAAUAUGAGCUCCUCGGGGUUUUGAAUCUUGUAACUCGCGGUAGAGCGCGAUGAUGCAGGAAGUGCAUUAGGCAAGGUUCCAUCUAAGAGAUCCCACUUGAAGAGUUUGGUAUAUCCCGCCAGGACGCGGCGCCGACGUUUAUGGUGCGGAGCAGGUGGAGGGAGAUGAAGGUUGGGGGCCGCAUAGUCUUCGCCUCGAUACAACGCGCGAUACAUGGCGCCAUUGCGAGAGAGGAGGAGGGGUGCCCGGGCGCGCUUUCGAGGGCGUGUCUGCGGGUUGCAGUGUGGGAAGAUGUUGCCGCGUAAGGGAUGUAAAUGCACGGGGGAUACCCCCUGGGCUUUGGAGGCGCAUUCGCGAUGCAUUCGAUGCACGCGUUAAAGCGUCGUAGAGCGGACGCGCGCGCGCGCGCGCGCACGCGGACGGGCGUUUUAUUUGCGGAUACUUGCCGCGUUUCCGCGCGAAAUCGCCGGCAAAAACGCCGGAAACUCGCCGCGGCCAUUACGCUCAUCUACUCUGAUAGGUCUUUAAGCAUGCGCGACUCGCCGCAUUUGUAGCCCUCAAAAUGGUAUCACAUGUGUGGCAAAGUAUCUUUUUAUGCACUCCGCGUCACUUAGCGCGGUAGCACGUUUCACCCGUCUCCCCCUUUUUCGUUUUUAUAUACAUUUAUUUAGAACAUAUUAAACUUUUAGUAUAAAAAUUUGCAAGCGAAUAAUUGAAAAAGCCCAUGUAUAAAUGUUACGAAAAUAUUACACAUGCAAUGUGCGGAGCGUAAUAACGGUAUUUAAAAAAAAGAGAGAUGCGUUUUUUUUUUUUUUAACAAAAUAUGCAUAUAUUUCGGAGAUGUUUCAAAGGAUUGUCAUAAUAUUUAUACGCAGUUUUUUUUCCAAUUAUUUUCCGCGAGUUUUUUGCUUCGAAAUAACUUUUUGAACAAAUAUUUCGUCACAAACUGUUGAAUUGGAAAUGCGUGUAUGUAAUUACAAGACAAACCCAAACGUUCAUUGUUUCGCAUAUCAAAAAAGAAUUUUCGUGAACGCUCGUAUUCGCGUUUUCCAGUUAUCUAGCCGCAGGUGCUAUCCCUGCCGUCCCCAGAGAGAAGAGGGGAGCGGGGAAAGAGGGGAAUCUUGAAGGCAGUUACAUCCCGGGGGAUUUCGGGCGAGUUAGCGGAUAGCGGUACAAUCUCCAUUAGCGAUUUCUCAGGACGCGCAUAGUCAUUUCCCGUAGGUGGCCGCCCUCCCCUACGUUCGUUCGCGCACAUACAUUGGCCUUUACCGAGUUGGAAGGUUGCCUCCUCAUUGUGAUCGUUAUCCAAAGGAUCCUCGAUUACCUCGCCGGCGGAUCGGACUCUGACCAGAGUUAGGUGUUUCGCGGUCGUUAAGGUAAUUUGGGCUAUGAUAUGUCCUGAAACGGUUCGCCGGAUUUGACCCUCCUAUCGCGGAUGCGCAGGCGAGCCAGGCCUGCCUCUAUCGCUUCCGGUCGGCCAUCGAGCGAUCGUCUUCACCCAAUUAGCUAAUGCGUCAGGUGAAAAUAUAUUUGAAGGGAAAACAUAAGUGCAUCCGGUGGACGACGGUUUCCUUGACGGAUGUGGCUUAAUUACGUCGGAGCUAUCGUUUACAUUGGUUUAUUCCGCCGGCGUGCAUUGAUGCAUAAACGAUCCAAGUCCUUCAGUUAUGUUUUUAUUAUGGACUUGUGGACUUUGAGUUAUAUAAGUUUAAUCGUAUUUAUUACUUAAUUAUUAUUUUUUUUAAUUAUUCAUUUUUCGACAACAUGUCGUCACGAUAAAAAAAAAACACUCAACUUUCAAUAGCGCGGAUUGCUAAAUAUUCCACUUAAAAUUUCUCGAAUUCUAAAUUCAUCGUUGUCUGUCGUAAAUAGUUUAUCGAAAAUGUUAUUUAACUCUGAGACUUUUGAUGCCUCGCACGCAGGGAAAUUUGUGUGGUAAGAAAGCCGUAGGAAAAUUUUUUACAAACAGUUAUCGCGCCGGUACCGCCGAAGUAAAGGGCCGUACGGAAGGGCAAAGUCGUGGCCUAUCGCGGCAUCUACGGUUAAGUACAAGUUUCGCAAUAAACUUCGCGAACCUUUACCAUGCCCGAUAAUGUACUCGGCUUCCAAGGUGCUCGCACUUUGGAACAUGCGAACAGAAGAGCAUGGAGGAGAAAAAAAGAGGAAGAAAGAGAGAGAGAGAGAGAGAGAAAAGAUAUCGACGGCGGCUAGCAAAUGCGCGGGAUAUGAGAAAAGUUAAGGAAAAAUAUGAAUUUACGAUUUUGCUCUCGCUAGAACAUAUAUCGUAGAACGCGAGGAGAGGCGGAGGAGAAGAGUAGAUUUUAUACUUCGCAUUGUUCGCGCACAAAACCCGCUUUAUAGGCUCGUCCCCAUGGCUCUUAUUAUCGUGAACUCACUAUCUUUCGCUCUCGCCUCGGUCGAUGUGAUAGAAAGGAUAGGGCGUGAGUUUCAAGGACUUGCCCUCCUUCUUUCCCUAUCCGCCUUUCCACUUCCUUCUCUAUCUCCUUGCUUCGGCCGAGGCGCUCGUGCUUUCCUCCCUUACCUUUCCUCGUUUCGACUCGAGAAGUAUUUGUUCGGUGAACGUUCCGCGAACGAUUUAAUUAAUCCGUGAAAAGCGCAGUCCUCCGUCGCCGUUAGCCUGUGGGCUGAGCAGUUACGGCCAAGAAAGGAAAAUAAUUACCGUUACCGAGCGUUUCUACCCCUCUUCUACACUUUAUUCUACAUUUUAUCCACAUUUAACGGGAAGGCGAGCGCGCGCCCUCAGGAGAACUCUCACUCUCUCUUUUCCUCUUUUCCAUUCUCGAAACGCUACUCUCUUCCCUUCUUCUUUCCGUAUCGAUGGAAAUGUUAACUGAUAUCGUCGUUUGCACAGAUUACCGUCGAACAGGUAUCCGGAAAUUGUGAGAAUUCAGGACCAAUAGCCAAUAUUUUCGAGAGUAACUCAGAAGAUAUUUAUAUACGGCGCUUUCAUUUCGUUCGAUAAAAACGUCUUUAUCGAGCCGCGACGCGCCCUCAAGAAGGAUUCUUCUUACGUUCCGGAUCUUCGUUCCGCCUCUCAAAUAAAUUUUUAUUGUUCUUUUACCUUCUGUAUUUUCUGCAGAAUCGAGUCCCUAAUGAAAUAACGCGUGCUCCAUUCGCGUCGAACACCUUCGAGAUAUCGUCCUUUCUCCAAGUUUUACGCGUCAAACGAAUAGAGUUACUCAAGGAAGCAUUAUGCUUUCCGGUAUCGCGCCUCCACACAUAUCUAAACUUAUCCGCAUGAGCACUUUCCGGAAUACAUAAGCGCGACGUCGGAGUCGUUCUAAGUGCGCUCCCCGCGACUAAUCUCGUUUAUCAGCCUGCGAAAUAAUUCACACGCUGCGGUUCGUCGAGCUACCAGUAAUAGGGCCAUCGGAAAGAUCGACAUUUCGAUUAUUACCAGUCGAUAUAUUAUUUUUAACGAUGUAUCUUUAUCAGACUAGACUGUCGAACAUCUUACGUCUUUUAUUGGAAGCUUUAAGUUAGAAUUUUAUAUCAGACUUUUUCGAGUAAAAUAUACGUGCCAUAUAAAAUAUUCGUCUUUCCGUUCUUAAAUUAAACGAGAAGUUUUUUGCAAAUUUUAUACCGAUGUAGGGUGUUUGUGUGUGCGUGCGUGUGUAAAUCCUUUUCAUUAUCUUUCCCAUAAAUCCAGCAUAUUUAAAAAAUAUAUAAUAAAUAUAAUAAAUAUACAAUGAAAAAGCGAGCGUAAGCUGCAAAAAUAAAGACGUUAAAAGUGUAUCUCGUAUUAUCGCAAAAUGUUUGCGAGGAACUGUGUCGCACGUGUCGAAAAUGCGUUUAAUUACAUUUAACCGUGAUGCAUUUAAUUCCGCGUCCCGAAUGCCAUUAUUACGCCGCGUAAUUUCGUCGGCGGGACGAAACACGUAGGCGAAUGCGCAGACACGCAGACACGCGUUUUCUUAGGAAGCGGAUGGGAGUUGCCUUGGCGGGAAACGCCAGGGGAUACACCAGUAAUGGAUUACUUUUAAUUAAGUAAACACCCGGAUUACGUAUCGCCGUAUACCCUCGCGUCGCUCCAUUACCACGGAUUUUCCAAGAUGCUUUGUUCGCUACGCGAAGAUUGCAACCCCCUUUCUCAACGCUCUCGGGCACGUCUGCCACGUUCGAUGACUUUGUCGCACUACAUUCACCCGCGGUUUGCAUUUUCCCAGGCCCGAUUCUAACUUUCAUCGCGAUCAGAUUUUUACCAUCUUUUAUUUCUUUAUUUUCAAUUACCUAAAAUCCGGCAUCGAAAUCUCAGAGACUCAAUUUCAAUAAAAUGAAAAAAAAGUACAAUUUUGUUUAAAAUAAAAUGUUAAACUUUAUGUAUUGUUAAUUCAAUAUAUUUAAUUUAAUAUAUUUGUAAUUAACUUGAAGAGAAUGUUUUGAAAAUUUAGUUAAAAUCUUAAACUAUAAAAUCAUGUUUUAGAAUUAAUUUUAUAAGCAGCUUCCAAGUUAGAGAGGAUAGAAUUUCCAAGAAUUUAAGUAAAAUUUGUGAAAGCAUAUGUUAUUUGAAGGAAUAAUAUUUACAGUUUAUAUUUUAAAUCUAAUAUAUUAAUUUUAAUAAUUAAAGUACAUUUUUAUUUAAGUCAUAUAAAUUUUUUAUAUUAAUAUAUCUAAGAAAAAUCUUAUUUCGAAGAACAAAAUUUUAUUACGUAAUGAUCCAUAGUAACAAUAAAGAAUGAAAGCAAUGAAAAUUCUGUUUAAAGUAUAAUAAAGGUUCAUAUUUUAACAGCGAUCCUUUUCUGCAUGCCCUACAUUUUCAGGAUUUUGAUGGAUUAUUUUGAAAAAUGAAAAAUUCGCAACGUGGGCCCGAGAAAGUGCUUAUGUUUGUAAUAUGUUGCUAUCUAUAGGCGGCUCUGCUGGAAGUUAAUACUUGGGUCGACAUCGACGUCGUUGCCGUCAAGAUGACGGCGGAUGUUCAGAGGUGGAAAAUUUCAUGUGAGUUUUGCCACGCUAUUUUGGUUACAAAACUGUCGAUACGUUCGCCGAUAAUAUCACGAAUAUGUUAUUUUUGUUAUCUAUCGCACAAACGCUUUAACUUUUAGCAAAUUGCCAAAUAUUUUGAUUCCGCGACAAAAAUGCGUCUAUUAAAAUGAUAAUUUUUAUACUAUCUAAAAAAUAAUCAAUACAUUAUUAAUGGUCAAAGCUUUUCAUUUUGCCACUUUAUCGCCAAAUAAAAUUACUUUAUCUAAUCCUAUCUAAAAAAAGGCAUGUAAAGUCGAUUGCUUGCAUUUCUCCAAGUUUAUUGUUGUUUUUCCGCGAUGCCGAUUGGUUCUCUCGCUGCGCUUACUUCGUAUUGCAAGAGUAGCUGUCAUUGCGACUGAAUUUUGACAACUGUUAAAUUUGCGUAGAUAUUAUAUCUAUACAAUUAUCGUUAGCGAAUUAAAAUUUGCGUAGAUGUUCAGAAGAAAUCUUCCCUCCCACGGGUACGACCUUGUCGUGGUGGGAGGGCUUAGUACCCCGAGGGCUUGAAUGCCUAUGGGGGAAGCUAACUGUACCCAUUGCACUUAUUAGGUUUGUUUUCUAUUCCUGCACUGUUGCAUUAGUGCAAUAAGUAAGAAUGAGAAAAAUAUAUUUGUCUUAUUCUAACUUAUUUCACCAGUGCAGCAGUGCAGGAAUAAAAAACAAACCUAUUACGUCGUCGAUCGUAAAAUUGUGGUUCGUCGCGCCGCGUUAACGCGGUUCGGGAGUGCCGACCGAUUGAAUUGAAAACGAACCGUAGCCGGCUCGUCGCGUCGCGCGUUUGCUUCGGGAGUGCCGUUAACAAAAGGACUAAAAGGACUUUUCGCAUAACUCCCAUUAGAAUGAUUUGUUAGUUCGAGAGACUAUAAGCACUAAACAGCGAAUUCUUAAUUACGAUCUUAAUAUGAUUGUAAUUUUGUAUUCUUCUGCACAGUGCUUGACGUUUCGUGUUAUCCGCACUCGUCGACUCAAGGUGCUGAUUCCACGGAGCAUUCUCCGAACUGGAAAUCAUAUCGUGGGAGUUAUAAACGUGGGGUGACGCGCGAAAGACUUUUUGACAAUUAAUUAGUCCUCGCGCGAUUGUAACUUCAAUAAUCGCGAGUGUUUUUCGCGAGUGUCUCGUGACAAGAAAGGACAGCCUGUUCUGAGAGGAGGAGGAGGUCCAGGAAGGGCAUCAGGCCCCGGCAGAGCAACCUUGGGAAUCAUCGUAGCGACGUUGCUGAAUAUCUCUGCCGCUGCGCAUCGAUCGGUGAGUGAUGAAUAAACUUUUAAAUUUGGGGUAAUAGAUCUGUGACAAAAUUUUACUUCAAAUAUAAUGUAGAAAUGUUUGCUAUAAUGCAAUAAUAAAUAAUAUUUAAAUGUCAUACUUAUUUCAUGGAUCUAUUGCCUCAAAAUCAGCUGCCUCUGGAGGAGCUGCUUGAAAAAUGCAAGAGCGGAAAAACCGCAUUAAAUGUAUGACAAUUCGACUCAUUGUAAUGUAAAAAGUUCUAUUUUUAAUAAUUAUGUUUGUCGCGGUGCUGCACAUUCUAUUCAGCAUUUUAUUCCGAGAUAGUCGCGAAAUCAAUGCGCGUUUAAGAAUAGUGGAAGAAUGGCGAGCGUGGUAAGACGAAAACUCAGUUUGCGCACGAUUUACAUCCACUUGGCGAGUUUUUACGCAUCCAUCUUCGUUCGGAACGUCCGUCGUCGGAGAAUCGACGCAUUCUCCGUCCGCCGGCGGAAGGAGAAUGCAAUAUUCGCAACGAAGAAGUCGAAGAACUCUCGCGUUUCCUCACCAUUCUUUUCGAAACGCGAUUUGAUAUUUCGGAUAUUUUCCGCGCGCAGAAAUAACGCUCCCGACGCAAGUUGCGACCAACUUUCGUUUUGCGAGCUGGUUUAAAACUUUCGCCCGAAUCGUGCGUUUUCCGACAUGUCUACGAAAUCUCGCGCGCGAUUUGUUCCCUACGAAACACAUGGAGUGAGAAAGGAUGGAGAGAAAGGACGACAGCGAUUGUUCUCUCGACGCGAAUCUCCGUGCGGGCUUUGUUGUCGAUCUUUGGUGCAAUAUUAGCUUACGGAAAAGCUUCCCUACAGAACGUAAUAACGUAACAUCAAAGUUUUAGUUCUCGUCUCCUGUAGUCUCUCUCUCUCUCUCUCUCUCUCUCUCUCAGUUUUAAGCCUCUACGAUUCGAUCCUUCUUGCUGCUUUCACCUAUCCUAAUGCAUGAGGAGAGUUGCAAAGUUCCGCGGAACUCAUUUGAAUUUUUAUUCAAUCCAAAUGAAACAAAUAAUUAUCACGGCAAUAAGCCGCUGUGAAAUGCGUUUCGUGAAAGUUGAAAGUGCACAAGAGUACUUUUAUAGGCACCAUUCGCGUACGAAACGAUUUGAGCUUUCGCCUUUGAAUAAUCUCUCUCUCUCUCUCUCUCUCUCAUUUUCUCGCACGUUUUAAAACGAUUUCGGGCAUCGUUCUUUUCUUCUAUUUAUACCUUGAAAUGCCGAAUUGAUUAUUCUAUUCUGAUUACGCUUUGCCACGUGUCCGAGAUAAAAUGCAUUGAGUUAAUUGAGUCAAAGUUGCAUUCCAUUGGAAAAAAGGCUAAUACUUAAAAAAUCAUACAUUAUUUAACUUCUUAUGUAUAAUUAGUUAAUUUUCCUACGUUUUAUUCGAUCCUAGACAUAAGAUCUGCGUACACAAAUUCAGGUCGAGUUUUUUAUUAAGAAAUUCACAAUUUUCGAGUAAAUGCAAAAAAUUAAGAGUAAAGAAAAAAAACAAAUAUGAAUACAAAUCGAUAUUUCUAUUUAUAAAUUUAUAAUUUCAAUCGAUUAUCGAUUUAAAACAGUAAAAAAAAUAAAUUAUUCGUAUUGAGACGUAUUCGGCAAAGGUUCGCCAUCUCCUAAUUGUGAAUAACGUGUGCGCAUGGUCGACAUAGAUUCCUGUCUCACACGAAACCAGAAGAGGGAUGAAGGGGAAUGCGCUCUCCACAAAACCGCGCUGCAGCAGUUUCCGUCUCCAGUCAAGAUAAAUCUGACCGUAGUUAAUUGGAGGCGGGAGCGAACGCGCCCCCCUUUUUAUUUAGGUUUUUUUUUUUAACGUCGGAUUAAUGCUCGGCGCGGGGUAAACGACGCGUGUUUCUGCGUUAAUUUUAGGUUGAAAUCGUUAUGCCGCUGCGCCGACAACUCGUUGGAAGUACUGGGCACGCGUUGCGCGAUAGUUUUCAAUUAAUUGCGCGAUUUAGUGACCAGCGCGUUCGAUGAAUACCAGAUUCGUUGUUAGCGUGAUAUGAUCUUUCCGAAGCACGCGCCGAGGACACGCGUCACGCAUCGGUUAUCAUCCCUAUAUAUUAAAUCCCCAAUUUUUUAACGGCACAAUCUUGCGUCGUUUCAGCGCCACGAUGAGCUACCGCGCUGACAAUGAGUUAUUAUUUCCCAUUUCGUCUAAUAAAAUGAAAAUAAUAAAAUAUGGCAAUAUCCGUGAAACUUGGAAAAAUGCCUGGAAGGUAUAAAAUUUAAAAAGAUCGUGCGUAAGCCGCUCAUAUUUCUUUUGCUCAUUAAGGUGUCAACACUCGACGUCAGCGUUUUAGUUUCGUAAAAAUUCUUACGACUGCAAAGCAGAAUAUUUUCGAUGUAGAUUUCUUUAACACGCGAAUUUUCUAAGGAGAAGUAGAAACGUUGUUUCUCGUAAGUGGUCAUUUUGAAUUUACGAGAUCGCAAACUCGUGAACGAGACACGCACCAAUGUCCUGUAGAGGCUCGUAACGGGCUGACUAUACUAUAUAUUAUUUCACUUCCUCCGAUCUCUCAGCUAAGAACCCCUUAUCCUUAAUUAUUUCUUCCUUUCCUAGCAAUUUGUCGUAAUUCGACCAAUUAUAAUUAACGCCGAGUCUCUCGGUGGCGAACGGUGACAGUAAUAAUUACAGAAUGUACGACCUCGUAAUAAACGCAAGGAAUAGAAUAAAGAAGGAACGAGAAGAUGUCUUUGCGGAAAAUUUAUAAUUCGAAUAAUUCACAGAAAUGGCUUAAUAAGAUAAUUUGGAAAAUUACUAGAAAAAAGUAUAGUAUGAUUCGAUGCGGAAAGGUCUGUAGAGAAUGCGCUGGGAUGUGUUGUGCAGAAAAGCAAAACUCUUGAUCGUCAUCGCGAUUGAUAGUGGAGAACGCGACGGCCGAAGAAAGAUAUCGAAGGCACCCGUCGAGAGAACGGCGAAAAAAAAAAAAA
rnacentral:misc_RNA from 1 species